rnacentral:rRNA from 2 species
UAAUUGAAGAGUUUGAUCAUGGCUCAGAUUGAACGCUGGCGGCAGGCCUAACACAUGCAAGUCGAGCGG